rnacentral:sRNA from 1 species
GUCUGUGUCUGUGUCUGUGUCUGAAUCUGAGCUUGGACACACAUACCAAGGAGAAUUUUCAGGAGUUAAUUCUCUCUUUCCACUGUGGGAUCCAGGGACCAAGCUCAAGUGCCCUUAACCCAAAGCCAUCUCCCUGGCUCUAACUUAGAGAUUUUAACAAGUGUAUUGUGCCUCAGUAAAAGAAUAUCCCUGUCUUUAGAAGAACCUCACUCAUCUAUCCAGGGGAUUCAACCAUUCCAGACUGUUCAUUUUAGGGGCUAGGGAUCUAACUCAGAACCCUGUUCAGACUAAAACUCUAAUUUACCCUCAUCCUCUAGGUGCCGGCUUUAAGAAAAACAGAAAAAUCCAAGCCUGGUGGUUCACACCAUUAAUCCCAGCACUUGGGAAGCAGAAACAGUUUCCAGUACAGGAUUCUGGGUGUUUGACUCUCCCUCUGUCCUCAAGUGUUUUACUUAAUCUCUGCUUCUGCCAUCUCGCCGCCCACUCUUCUUGCUUUGACUCCUCCUGUGUGCUUUCGGUAAGAAUCAUUAUGUCUCAUUCUCAGUCACCUCCCCAUCUCUAAUCAGUGCACUUUAUCACACCUACACAGUUCCUUUGUCUUGUCAGUAAUAUUCACAGGCCCCAGUAGGGGCCUUCUUCUAACACCAAUACGAUCCUUAAAAUUGUGUAAAAUGUACAAAGACAGUCAAUAAUGUAAGAAAAAGAACAUAGAGCCACUAUAACAGGAUUGAUAGACUAUUGUAAAGAAAUGGAUUGGUGCAGUAGACCAGAGAAUGCACAGAGAUGGCUGUAAAGUGAAGUAAGCCUCUACCUCAAGCAAUGCAAAAUGAUAAGUAAUAUGAAAUUAAUAAACAACUCAAUGACAAAAUAAAAAACUGCAUUAAAAAUAAUCAACCAAGACAAACCCAGCACAGUCUAUGAACACCCAGGUUAGAUGAGGCUGCUCAAGGAAACCGGAACUGCAGAAGCUUUGGUUUAGGGCACCUAUGGGACCAUAAAUGGAUGGAACUAUGUACUGGAAGUGCUCCAGGUACAAAAUUAGCUGCUCAAAAAAUAUGGCUGAAAAUAGCAGCUUAAGGGUUUAGCUCAGAAGUAGACAUGUGCUACAAGCACAGGGACCUGGGCUCAGUCCUUGGGUCCUGGAAAAAAAGUUCUGUGAUAUGAAAGGUGGUGGUUGGUAUCUCCCCACCCCCAUACACAAAGCUGUUCCAAAGUUCCAAAGAGACAGCAACAAGACAGCAGGCUGCCAAGCCAGCCUGCACUGCUUGAGAGACAAUUGUCUCAUCAUUGGGCAGAAUUUUCAAAAUCUGACAUGUUGUUAUUUCAUAAUUCAUCAGCUGUUAAAGCCAAGGCAAUGCUAACUUUGCUGGUGACUAAA